rnacentral:lncRNA from 1 species
GGAGGAGAAACAAACAAACCAAUUAUUUUUGCAGCAAAAGCCACUUUUGAUCAUUUCGACAAUUCUGAAUAAUGUGGAAGACUGACAUGCUUCACACAUUGAUUGCUUUGCUACAGUGAGAUUGUUUCUCAAAAGAGAUCACAGUUGCAUACCGAAGAGAAAAAGAGAUGUGAUGAGUUUGCUGUGGUGAAGAAUGAGAACAAAGAAAAGACAACACAUCUUGCUCAACUCAGUAAGUUAUUAAAUAAGUAUUCUAUUGCAUAA